rnacentral:rRNA from 1 species
GACGAACGCUGGCGGCGUGCUUAACACAUGCCAGUCGAACGGAAAGGCCCUGCUUUUGUGGGGUGCUCGAGUGGCGAACGGGUGAGUAACACGUGAGUAACCUGCCCUUGACUUUGGGAUAACUUCAGGAAACUGGGGCUAAUACCGGAUAGGAGCUCCUGCUGCAUGGUGGGGGUUGGAAAGUUUCGGCGGUUGGGGAUGGACUCGCAGCUUAUCAGCUUGUUGGUGGGGUAGUGGCUUACCAAGGCUUUGACGGGUAGCCGGCCUGAGAGGGUGACCGGCCACAUUGGGACUGAGAUACGGCCCAGACUCCUACGGGAGGCAGCAGUGGGGAAUAUUGCACAAUGGGCGGAAGCCUGAUGCAGCAACGCCGCGUGCGGGAUGACGGCCUUCGGGUUGUAAACCGCUUUCGCCUGUGACGAAGCGUGAGUGACGGUAAUGGGUAAAGAAGCACCGGCUAACUACGUG